rnacentral:lncRNA from 1 species
AAUGUUUCAUUGGAUAAACUGUUGUGCUUACAAGAUAUUGUUAUCUAUUUCAAUAACUAUUCUCUGAAUGAAAUUAGAUACUAUAUUUGUGUUCUUUAAUCAUUAGAAAUUGUUUUCAACUGCCAUCCCUGAAUUUUAUAUGAAAAUGUUUCGAGGUUGUAAAAUAUCAAAAAGACUGCAUACUCCUUCUCUAAAGCGCUUCCUGCCUUGGUUAAAUUUAGAUAUUCCUUGCGUUCCAAACCAACUCCCUCAUGGAUGGGGAUAUAAAAAAUCGAUACAGUCUAACUGAUGUUUCCAAUUGGUUCUAUUUCGGCACCAAAUAUAAGAAUCUUGUUCAUCUCAAGGAAAUAAUUACAUUAUUGAUGCAACAUUAAUGGGGAAUAUUUCCUGUUAUUGGAAUAAAACUUAUUCUAAUUCCAAAUUCAUUCAACUCCGUGGGUAAAUACAUUCAAAUUCACUAACUCUCGGCUCAAUUAAAUGUAAUUACUUAAAAUAAUAUUAUUUUGAUCCUUAUAAACUCAUGAAUUGGAGAUAUUACGAAUCGAUAUAGUCUGUAUGAAGUUAUAUAUCCUGUUCGACAACUAAUAAAUAUAUAAUCCUCGUUAUAAACUAAUUACAUUAUUAUUCUAUGGUCAGUGGAGGAUAUAAUAUUUAAUACUAUUUGGAUGAAAUCUACUACAUAAUCUUGUACAAACCAAAUUUGAAGUUGACACUUUAUUUUUGAAGCGAAAAUUAAUGAGUUUAAUGAUUAGAUUGAUAAUUUUUUUUUAAAUUGCUUUAAAAAAACCCUUUAACAUAUAUUUUGAGUAGCAUACAUUAAGUAAAUCCAUCAUUUCUGGCUCAAAAACAAUUUUUAGGAUUUCAAAUAUUAUCCCAAAGUGAAAGAGUUGCUUAAAAUACCACAUGAUGUUGAUAUAAAAUUACAACUACUGCAAAUAUUAUAGCUUUAUAAUCGUACAAAGUUGAUAUGAGUUGACCAAGUGGAAUUUAUCAUCAAAAAUUAUGCUUUUCACUACAAUAGGUUGCGUGAUUGGAGCUUGGUGCUACUCCAGAUAGUAUUACUUAAGUUGUUACUCAUAUUAGUACUCCCUGCUUUGUGUCUCCAUGAGCUAUUAUUUAUUAUCAUAUAUUUUUUGAAAUAUUUCCCUUCCCUUGACAUUCGAGGUUGAGAGGGAAUACAAAAUCAGGACGUGUACGUCUAGGUAUAGCUUAGCUACUUUGUAAACAUAAUAAUUAAAUAAUAAUAAUACAUAACAUAAAUUAAAAAUAUAUUAUCCUCAUUUAAGUGUUUUCUAGAUAUAUCUUAAGCAAUAUUUUAGUAAAUAUAAUGCCAAAGGUAAAUAAAACUAAAAGAGUCUGUGCAGUGGCUAUUUGUAAAAAUCCAAAAGGGAUUUCAUACCACCGAUUCCCGAAAGACCUUGAAAGAAGGAAGGCGUGGAUUUUGGCUUGUCGAAGAAAAGACGAAUUCAAUACCGAUGAAGCCAGAAUUUGUGCUCAUCAUUUUGAUCCUUCGUAUUUCAAAAGAGACUUGCGGAAUGAACUUUGGGAAAGCCAACUAAAAGUUUUUUGGAACCUAAUGCUAUUCCAACCUGUUAUUUGCAAAAAGACUAUGAAAGCCCAAAAAAAGUUAAGGAUAAUAGAGCUGCUGAUCGACGGAGGAAAAAAGAUAUUCUAGCACUUUUGAAUACUACCAUUCUGUCAAAUGAGAUACCGAAAUCUGAGCAUAUGAGUCAAGAAGCUGUCCUGGAUAAUUCAAAAGAGGUAUCUUUUAAUGAUGCUAGCAUUCAGUGUAACAUUCUACAGCCUAAAUCAAAAUAUAUAUCAGAAAAUGAAUACCUUAAGAAAAGACUUCUGAAAGUAGAAAAUGAACUUUCAAAUUUACGGAAGAAAAAUAAAUAUUUGGAGAGUAAGAAACAUGAAAUAUGUAUUGUGAAAAAACACAUUGGUAGUAAGUUUGGCCCAUCAUUGACAAAGCGCAUACUAUCAAAUAAGGAUACCAAGUUCAAUCGGGGUUAUGAAAGGGAGGAAAUUAUGUCUGCUCUAGUUUUAAGAUGCAUGAGCUUUAAAGCUUUCGAAUAUCUCAGGAAAAAUAGUUCUCUAGCUCUUCCAAGUCGUCAAACUCAAGAUAAUUGGCUUCAACGGUUUGACUGCUCCGAUGGAUUGCAACAUAAUAGUUUAAAUGUAGAUGAAGCUAGUAUGAAGCCAGAAGGCUAAAACAAAUUGGGCAAUUUAGUAUUUGAAGUUUAAUUAUUAUCAAUUUAGAAAAUCCCCCAUUAAUAAUUUUUCAUAUUUUAUAUUAUUAUUAUCAAGUUAUAUUACUCUAAAUAAACCUUAAUAACUA